AUUGAACGCUGGCGGCAGGCCUAACACAUGCAAGUCGAACGAGUGGCGGACGGGUGAGUAAGGUCUGAGAAACUGCCUGAUGUAGGGGUAUAACUACUGGAAACGGUAGCUACUACCGCAUAACAUCAGAUGGGCCCAGAUGGGAUGAGGGAAUUGGUGGGGUAACGGCUCACAAAGGCGACGAUCCCUAGCUGGUCUGAGAGGAUGACCAGCCACACUGGAACUGAGACACGGCCCAGACUCCUACGGGAGGCAGCAGUGGGGAAUAUUGGACAAUGGGCGAAAGCCUGAUGCAGCAAUGCCGCGUGUAUGAAGAAGGCUUUCGGGUUGUAAAGUACUUUCAGCGGGGAGGCGUUACCCGCAGAAGAAGCCCCGGCUAACUCCGUGCCAGCAGCCGCGGUAAUUC
rnacentral:rRNA from 1 species